CAGUAACACGUGGACAACCUGCCCUUAGGACGGGGAUAAACCCGGGAAACUGGGUAUAAUACCCGAUAGGUCUCGAUUGCUGGAAUGCAUCGAGAUUUAAAGCUCCGGCGCCUAAGGAUGGGUCUGCGGCCUAUCAGGUAGUAGUGGGUGUAGCGUACCUACUAGCCUACGACGGGUACGGGUUGUGAGAGCAAGAGCCCGGAGAUGGAUUCUGAGACACGAAUCCAGGCCCUACGGGGUGCAGCAGGCGCGAAAACUUUACAAUGCUGGCAACAGCGAUAAGGGAACCUCGAGUGCCAGGUUACAAAUCUGGCUGUCGAGAUGCCUAAAAAGCAUUUCAUAGCAAGGGCCGGGCAAGACCGGUGCCAGCCGCCGCGGUAACACCGGCGGCUCGAGUGGUAACCGUUAUUAUUGGGUCUAAAGGGUCUGUAGCCGGCCGGAUAAGUCUCUUGAGAAAUCUGGCAGCUUAACUGUCAGGCUUUCAGGAGAUACUGUCUGGCUCGAGGCCGGGAGAGGUGAGAGGUACUUCAGGGGUAGGGGUGAAAUCUUGUAAUCCUUGAAGGACCACCAGUGGCGAAGGCGUCUCACCAGAACGGACCUGACGGCAAGGGACGAAAGCUAGGGGCACGAACCGGAUUAGAUACCCGGGUAGUCCUAGCCGUAAACGAUACUCGCUAGGUGUCGGCCACGGUGCGACCGUUGUCGGUGCCGUAGGGAAGCCGUGAAGCGAGCCACCUGGGAAGUACGGCCGCAAGGCUGAAACUUAAAGGAAUGGCGGGGAGCACCACACGGUGUGGAGCUUGCGGUUUAAUUGGAUUCAACGCC
rnacentral:rRNA from 1 species